UCCUGACGGGAGUAGGUUCAUUUGGAUAAAUAAUAAGUGGAAAGUGUGUAUUGGGUAUUGUUCCAAAUAUAUCGUUGCGAAUUUGGAAGGGAUGACCCAUAUUUCCGGACUCUUAAAGCUAACUAUACUGGCUAUCGAAAUUCUAACGUUUACAUAAAAUCAUAAGAAGAUCAGCAAAACAAAGGCGCAAAGUUCUGCCUCAUUUACAAAGUUACGUAUACGAUCAGGAACAGAAAGGAGGAAAAAAAAGCAACUCUUCUGAAAAGAAGGGUUGUUUGGUACGACUAGAUUUUGGAUGACACUGAUUCUUGGAAGACAGAAAGGGAAUCUGGGAACUUACCAGCCUUUACGACAGUUCAUUCAACAACCAGGGAGGCAUCAAGACACGCAAGUAGUGGGGAAAGCUAGACACCUAUAGAUUAUUGUUACUUAUUUAUUUCAAGAGGAAUAUCGAAUUUAACCUUUUGCGUCUAACCUAUAUA